GGAAGAGUCAAGUCAAGGCCAGAGGUCCUACAGCAGGGCUGGAAAGCACACCUGUGGGACCUCUGGCCUUGGCUUGACUCUUUC
ensembl:miRNA